GGCUCAGUGGUCUAGUCGUAUGAUUGUCGCUUCGUAAGUUGCCUAUCGGACUCGUGUUUACCAGGAGAUCACCUCAGAGAGCACUUCCUAACAAUCACCAGGGGUACCAAGCCCAGAUACAAAGUAUCGGAGAUGUGACAGGUCCCGGGUUCAAAUCCCGGCUGAGCCC